rnacentral:rRNA from 1 species
UACGUAGGUGGCAAGCGUUGUCCGGAUUUACUGGGCGUAAAGAGCGCGCAGGCGGUCGUUCAAGUCGCGUGUGAAAGCCCCCGGCUCAACUGGGGAGGGUCACGCGAUACUGAUCGACUCGAAGGCAGGAGAGGGUAGUGGAAUUCCCGGUGUAGUGGUGAAAUGCGUAGAUAUCAGGAGGAACACCGAUGGCGAAGGCAGCUCGCUGGGACGGUACUGACGCUGAGGCGCGAAAGCGUGGGGAGCAAACAGG